AACGAACGCUGGCGGCAUGCCUAACACAUGCAAGUCGAACGAGACCUUCGGGUCUAGUGGCGCACGGGUGCGUAACGCGUGGGAACCUGCCCUUAGGUUCGGAAUAACUCCCCGAAAGGGGUGCUAAUACCGGAUAAUGUCUUCGGACCAAAGAUUUAUCGCCUUUGGAUGGGCCCGCGUUGGAUUAGCUAGUUGGUAGGGUAAAAGCCGACCAAGGCGACGAUCCAUAGCUGGUCUGAGAGGAUGAUCAGCCACACUGGGACUGAGACACGGCCCAGACUCCUACGGGAGGCAGCAGUGGGGAAUAUUGGACGAUGGGCGAAAGCCUGAUCCAGCAAUGCCGCGUGAGUGAUGAAGGCCUUAGGGUUGUAAAGCUCUUUUACCCGGGAUGAUAAUGACAGUACCGGGAGAAUAAGCUCCGGCUAACUCCGUG
rnacentral:rRNA from 1 species